GCACGCUCCCUGGACCCGAGUCAGCCCCGGCUGUUUCUAAUGAGAAGCACUAAUUAGCGUGCCGAUUGGCAGGCCUGCCUUCCCACCGUCCAUCUCAACUUCUCAGCGAGUCCCAGACCUGCCCAGACUGCAUCUGCAAGCGUGGUCAAGCUCCCACCUGACUAGGGUACCCAUAGGUAAUAAUGCUUGGGUGAGGUCACCAGGGAGUCUGCAAGCCUCGUCAAAGCCCCACCCACUUGGGAGACCCAGGCCUGAGGAUGCUUAGACAGGGUCCCGAUGCCUGACAGCUCCCUGCGGGGCACAGGAAACUGCGGGAAAUUGGAGUCUGAAGGGUCACUCUGUAAUGGUGGGCGCUCAUCCAGUGUCCCGUCAGGACCUCCUAGCCCUCACUGGGUCGCCGCAUUGCCUUUGUUUUCUUCCCUAUUCUCCUGUCCCUGGAAUCAAACCCUAACAUUGACUUGUGAAUGAGGACGCCAGCUGAUCCAUAUCCCCGACCUCACCCCUUCCUAGCUGUCGUUUAGCAAUAACUGAGUCACCAGGAGCCAAUUGGUCUGGCAAGAAGAGCAAGGACAACACAGGACGACUCAGAUCCUCUCCUUCCUUGAGCCCAUCCGUCUACUCCAUCUUAAGACUGGACUGAGUCUCGGAUCCUAAGUACGUGAGAAGAGCCUCGUGGGCUGUGGUUCAGCCUCACUGGUGUCGCUGGCCAUCACUCUAGCAGCGGGAGCCAGCUGGACCCCUCUUUGAUCUAAUGGAAUGAAUACCAUCGUGCAUCAGAGAUGCUGCGGGCCCAUCUACUGUAUCAUUCUGGCGAAGUACACGGGGAUGGAGGAAGACAAGAGGUCAAGGAAAUAUGGUGAGACUGCAUAGAGGGGUCUUGCCACGACAGCUUGGGGGCUUUACCGUAUUCCUGGACACCUGUUCCCCAGGUCCCCCGUGCUGUUCUCCUCCUGAAACUCCCAUGGAGCUCUCCUCUCUGCUCUCACGUGAGUUUGACAGAGCAGACCAGACACUUAGUGUUUCUGAGAUCAAACCCCAGCUGAGCUAAGUUGUGAGCCAGCAGGAAAAUGUACCAGAUUUCUCAUCCCAGAGGCCAUCUCCCUGUCCCCUAGGAUCCCACAGAAGCGACACCUCCGUGGUCUACAGUUGUUACCUGCUUGAUUUCCUUUCCUUCCCCCACCCCCUAUGUGUGCUUCCUGGGCUCAUCAACCAAAUUAACCAUCAUCUCCAACACUGGUUUUGAUGCCAGCUUCUGGGAGGACCCAAGCUAACAUGGUCCUUAGGCAGUAAGGAAGGGCUCAUCAGUCUCUGUGAAUCUUGUCCAGUUCAUUAUUUUCUUGACAAGUGCUCUAAUCCAUUUCUGUAUCUGGAGCCUAUCUAUCCAUCAUCACCUGUCAAUAUACCCACCAGUCUGAUUAUUAUCUGGAUCUGUCUACCUUUCUGUCUGUGUGUCUAUCAUCUAAAAAUCAUCUAUCCUAGCAUCUACAUCUAUCUAUCUAUCUAUCUAUCUAUCUAUCUAUCUAUCUAUCUAUCUAUCUCAUGUCUAUCGAUCUAUCAAUUUAUCAUCUAUUUACCUACCUACCAAGAUGGAGGAUAAGUUAGUACACUUCUGGCUAAGAUCAUCACUGUGCAACCUGGAUUUUCUCCCUAGUGUGUGUGUGUGUGUGUGUGUGUGUGUGUGUGUGUAUGUAUUUGUGUGUAUGCAUGCACUCAUACACUCACAGGUAGGCAGGCUGUAGCUAGCCCUCAGCUAACACUAAGACCCGAGGGGAUCCAGAAUAGGCAUUAAUAGUAUGGGAGAGGAGGCUAAGCAUGGCCUGGACUAUGGGCCAUGGUCAGUCCGCUGUCAUUUUCAAGGAUGGCAGAAAGAGAUAUGAGCAGGUCAUAGCUGAGCAGAGCAUGGUAAUGCCCCGGCUCAGAGCCUGCGAACCUAUCUCCUCGCCUUGCCCGGCUGAGUCUUUUGUUACUUUUGGGAUUGGCAGUGGUGGCUUCACUAUCUCUAAAGAAAACAUCCCUGCUUCCCUCUUGACAGCGUGUCAACAUGACAAUUGUCUGGUCUUGGCACAGAUGUUCACGGUGCCUUGGAAACAGAAUGGUACUGCGAGCCACCCCUGCCCUGCUGCUGGGUUUGGGGAACUCUGAAGCCCCUUGUUUCGGGUGCUACAUUGAGCAGUUUGGAUGAUACACCGUCCUGAGAAAGCAGUGUCCUGUUCAGUCCACAGGGUGUUGAGUGUCCAGGUCUUUGGUCCUUUGCACCUUCUGUUUUAUGCUCUUCGGUGCAGAGUUCCCUUGAUGAUAGGCAUCCAGUAGCUCUCAUAAUGUCAGUCUCUUUCUGUGCCCCUCCCCUGAGCUCUCAGGGGACUGAGCCCUUCAGUCACCUCACUUUGGCCUUCUGACUUACUGUCGAGCUACUGACAUGCACCUGAAGAUGCUCAACCUGCCUUUCUCCUGCACUGCCUUUUCCAUUGAACACACCUGGUUCUUGUAUCGCCUUCCCUUCUAAGUCACACCCCCUCUGCUCCUGCUUACUCCCUCUCUGCACUGAUUCCUUGCCUCCUCAAUCCUGGGGCAGAUACUGGCCUCCCAAAGGACACCACCUUGCUAGCAGCAGCCGUGUUUGUGUAUCUGAGAGUGGUGCCUGUGUCAGGUUCUCCUGGCACUCUUGUGGGACGAGUUUCUGCUCAACGCCAUUGGCAUUUGUCUCCACGUACACAGGGUCAUUCAAGUUUUGCUCCUACCCACCUGGAAACCUGGAGGACGAGCAAGGGAGGUUUCACUCUAUUUCAGCUGUCGGGUGCUUCUGUCGUAGCUCAGUGUUUCUUGCCUUUGAGAGCUCUGUCGUCUCCGACUUAAGUGGCUCUCCUCCAAGGACAACUUGCUUGUCUAUUUCCAAGGCAUCCCAGGGAAGUUAGCUGAAGUAGCGAGAUGGCAUGGUGUUGGUAGUGGGCUGGGUUUUCUUCAAACUCAGGGUGAAAGCUGUGGCUCUGGGGUAUUGGGGCAAAUGUGACUGGAUGGAAAACCCUUGCACCCUAUUCUGCCUCUAUACCUUUCCAUUGCUUAUUAAUUUUUUAAAAAUUUCUCUCUGCACAGAGAGAAGGGCAGAUUUCCUGCAAUCCCACCCCUUUUCUGUAGAGUGUGCUCAGCCAGAUGCCAACAUUCAUUCCUUCCAGAAUCUGAACAAAAGAGGAGAGGCAGAUACUUCCACUCCUCUGCAGCCUCUACUAUUGUUCUUAUUUUGUCUCUUCAAGGUCCAGUGACAUCCAUACCAUGCCGCAGUCACCCGAGGACCUGCCUGAGACCCUCCCCUGGUGUUACCUUCCACAGUAAUCCCAUACUUGCCCUAGAAAGUAGUGCCAUCACCGUCUUCAUAUUACAUCAUACACAUUACAUCAUAUACAUCAUACACAUUACAUCAUAUACAUCAUACACAUUACAUCAUAUUACAUCAUACACAUUACAUCAUAUUACAUCAUACACAUUACAUCAUAUCUACUUCCUCAUCCCACUAGUGCUACGUAUGUUGGAUAGGACCUGUGCUAUGCAAUACAACAGACUCCUUCACAAUGGGGUGAAAGCUCUCUUUAUGAGUGUCAGGAUUAUUCCACAUGCUGCUACUUCCUUGAGCAGAGGCACUGUCUCUCAGUACCUUUCCAGAGAAAACCGAGAUCAGCUGACAUGGUGUGUAGUGUCCCUCUGGAUCUUACUUCCCACCUACCUCGUGUCUACACCUGGGCUCUUCUUUCUCACCUUUGCUCCCAUUUCUUACUUUCUCCACACCAGAAACAAAAUAAGUGUGUGAUAAUUUAUUCUGCCAAGUACUUAUCUGCCCCUUUACACGGUCUGUUUCUUAAAAUGUUAUCUUGACCUAGCUUUUCAGUCAAAAUCUAAUGUAAAAUUGUUACAAAGUCAGUUCAGCCUGGGCAAUGUGGAAUCUUAUUAACUUCUCCUGUAUGCUACAGGAGAGGAUGCAAUGCAACAACUGAGCCUUGAAAGAGACGUGCAGUCAGGUAGGAGGUUUAUGUUCAUAAACCCCUUGCCAAUCACACACAUGUCCCCACCUAAAGGAUCCACCAAUCGCAUAGAUCAACCAUCUUCCUCACGUGAAUGCCGUGUGUGUGUGUGUGUGUGUGUGUGUGUGUGUGCUGCAUUUGAGAAUGAGAAAGCCCCUUGACAUCCAGCACCAGCCACCCUCAGCUCAGAACAGUCUCACUGGUGCUUCAGUGCUGCCCAAUGCUCUCUCAUACAUUAAGCCCCUACGUCGUAAUCUGUGGUUCCAAUAACUGAAGGUGGAGCUCAGUGAUCAAAACUGAGUAAAAACCAAAUGCACAUAGAAUCCAAGGUCUUUCUGACAAUGGUUGCAUCAUGUGACUUCACACCAGGCUGGUUCUGAGCACAGGGCAGGACUCCUUGGCACCGGGCGUGCCUUGACAGCACACACCAGCAGCAGGUGCUGCAUGGGACACCUCGGUCCAGAUUUGAUAUCGCACAUGAGACAUUUUCUUUCCGUACAAACAUCAAUGUAAUGAAGGAAAACAAAGACUUUUAAUAAUUUUACUCCAUGUUUAUUCAUGUAAGUGUCAAAUCAGUAGACCUUGGGAUUCCACUGUGUUAGGAUGGUUGACUUUAACAGGUGCUUUUGAACUGCUGACUUGAAAUUUAGUGAAGCAUCAUUCAAUAAAAUUUGGCUUUGGGUUAGGACAGAAUUCCAACCAUUUCUGAAAUGGCCAGUGUUGGUUUGAAUGAAAAUGGUUUCCACAGACUCAUAUGUUUGAAGGCUUGGCUCCCAGCUGGUGGACUAUUUGGGAAGGAUUAGGAGGUGUGGCCUUGUUGGAGGAGGUGUCUCACUGAGGGUGGUACUUGAGAUUUCCAAAGAUUCGCUCCCUUGCCAGUCUUUUUUUCAUCCCCUCUCUGCCCCCGUCUACCAAUGAAGAUGUAAGCUCUCAGUUACUGCUCCAGCGCCAUGCUGCCCACCUUCUGCCAUGCUACUUGCAUUCCAUCCUCCCUGCAGGUGUUUGCUUAUUCAUUGCAAAGGGAUUUCAUGGGAUUUCUGUGGGCCGGGACAUUUUGUUGAUUCAAGGAGGAGGAAAGAGAGGCAAAGCAUCACUGUGCCAUCUUAGACCAAUUUUCUCUCUGAGAUUAUGUCCCAAAAUAUACUCCGAAUUAUAAUUAAUAAACAGCUAAAGAAAAAGCAUGAAAAGGCAUACUAUAUUGAUUGCUUAAAUGUAAGGCAAACACUCAUGUGGAGAAGAACAACAACAUCAAACCUGUUCUGCUCGGGAAACAAAGCAACCUGCUGCCAUUUAAACCGUAACUUCAAAAUGAGAGUCAUGAAUAUAGUAAAUGAUAAUUGUGUAAUAGCAAAGACAUAAAAGUAGAACGCACAGGGCAGCCUGUUUGAAAUGUUAUUAAAAUGCAUGCAUAUAUUAAAAAUAAAAUUAUACAUCAAAUUAUUACAGUUCAUUAUCUCUGGAAUAAAGGAAGAGGAUUUUAAUUGUUUUCUUUAUUGCUUUUGUAUGCAAAAGUUUAACAAUGAAAUUGCUAUAAUUUCUAAUAUCGUUAAAAAAAUAAGUCAUUAAAAACUUUCUACCAAUUCACGGAGCUUUUGAGAGGAUAAAUUAAAUUACAUUGUUGAAGUACUUACAAUUUGUGCAUAAGAACUA